AAAAACAAAAAAACAAAAAAUAAAUAGAUUCAAAUUCCCCAACGUCUCUCUCCAUCCACUACUAACAAACCUGCCCCACUAAAAUCCCACUACCUCUGCUCUCUCGUACCAAGAAAAAGACAAAAAGAAAAAAUAAUAAAGUCCCUCUUCUCUCUCUCACACUCGGACAAUUCCCACUGAGAAAACGUUUCCCCUCUCACACAAUUCCCCAAGCCUCUCACACACGCUCAGACUUUUCCUCUUCACUCUCACGCUAACUAGA
rnacentral:lncRNA from 1 species